UGAUAGCAAUGAAGCGUGAGGUUGCUGCGGACUCAAACCGCAGGUUUUCCGUGGAGCGAAUGUCAAGUUAUAGAAACUGGCGACAA
rnacentral:ncRNA from 1 species